rnacentral:rRNA from 1 species
AUUGAACGCUGGCGGCAUGCCUUACACAUGCAAGUCGGACGAGUGGCGGACGGGUGAGUAACGCAUGGGAAACUGCCCAAUGGAGGGGGAUAACUGCUGGAAAGGGCAGCUAAUACCGCAUACCAUCUGAGGUGCCCAUGUGGGAUUAGCUAGUUGGCGGGGUAAAGGCUCACCAAGGCGACGAUCAGUAGCUGGUCUGAGAGGAUGAUCCGCCACACUGGAACUGAGACACGGCCCAGACUCCUACGGGAGGCAGCAGUGGGGAAUGUUGGACAAUGGGCGCAAGCCUGAUCCAGCCAUGCCGCGUGUCUGAAGAAGGCCUUCGGGUUGUAAAGGACUUUUGUCAGGGAAGCGGUACCUGCAGAAUAAGCACCGGCUAACUACGUGCCAGCAGCCGCGGUAAUAC